AUGGCCAUGAUUACUGAUGGCAUUUGUAAACUCCCACCUUAUAAAUUUCUUUUUUGUUUUUGUUUGUUUUUUUCUGGCAUGUGGAACUUCCCCAAUCAGGGAUCGAACCUCCACCCCUUGCAGUGGAAGCUCCAAGUCUUAACCACCACCAAGGAAGUCCCACCUUGUAGAUUUCUAAUCCAGUGGCUUGAAAUCCCAGAUCUUGCUUCUGGCGAUGGCAACACCAAGAUUCAUCAUAGGUUUCCUAGAAUUUCUGCCUUCAAGGACCUGCCAGCCUGCAGGUGCCAUGUAGACUCACCCCAAAGGCUGCCAGUUGUCGCUCCACAAGUGAGUCUUCAGUCUUUUCUGUUUGGAUGUGCCCAGAGACCGAUGCCUCGCUGGCAGCUUCCCGCUUCCAGAGCCUAAAGUUCAAUCCGUUUAAAAGUCAUGACUUAAAAGGCAACCACUCCCAAAAGACAGUCGUUGACCCCCAAGGGUGCUGAAACACAACUACUAAACACAAUCAGCACACUCCACAAGGAACCGUGACACAAGGAAACAAAACUGGGUGUUGCUUUCUGAGUUGAUCUCAGGCAGGAGUCCCCUUGGCAGGAGGGCAGAGCAGCAUAGCGUAGAGAUGUCAGACAGGGCCAAGGUAGAGAUGGUGUCAGAGAGGUGGGCACCCCGAGCAAAGGCACGGGGGUGGGACGAAUGCUUGAGGGCUUCCAGGAGUCUAUCACUGUACACAAGAGAACGGGGUACAAACGUGUCUACGCGGAAUGCUCAGGACAACCCUGCAGUAGAUCCCACUUGGUGACUCACUUGCAAAAGGCCACCCUUAUGCAAAGGGCUGUCUGGCCCUAGGGCAAUGCAGACAGAAUUCCUGGUGAUACUAAGGUUGUUGUUGUUUCUCUCCAGUGCUCUGUCUACUCACCAUGUUUGUGGUGCAACGGGGGAAAAGUUUACCUGCAACUUACUUCUCAUUAAUUUAGAAAAUGCUUCUCAUCUUCAUUAUUGGAAAACUAUUCAACAUCACUGGGACAGCGUGGGUAUAGGAAUCAACUUCUUCAAAUGUUGAGUUUCAUGAAAUCUAAAUAGAGGUCGAGUAUUUCUGAUGAAAAUUCAUCAUCUGAAUUGAGAUGUGCUACAGAAAUACACACCAGAUUUCAAAGACGGAGCGUAAAAAAGUUCUUUCCUAUAUUGAUCAUAUGUUGAAUUAAUAUUUUGGAUAUAUUGACGUGAGACGUUAGAAUUGGUGUCAUCUGUAUCUGUUCCCUCUUCCUUUUUCAUCGUGGCUACUAGAAUAUAUGAAGCUGCCUGUGUGGCUCAUGAGCUUCCCAGGUGGCUUAGGGGCCAAGAACCUACCUGCCAAUGCAUGAGACACAGGUUCAAUCCCUGGGUCAGGAAGAUCCCCUGGAGAAGGAAAUGGCGACCCACUCCAGUGUUCUUGUCUGGAAAAUUCCCUGGACAGAGGGGCCUGGUUGCCUGCAGUCCCUGGGGUUGCAGAGUCAGACACAACUGAGUGACGGAACAUGUGGCUGAUGUUGUUUCUACUGGACUAGCUGCUCUGUGUGUUCCUGUUUCUGCCCAUGGCAGGCAGGCUUGAUGCAGAGGCUUGAACCACAGUUGAGAUGGGGAGACAGUGUUGUGCUGGGUAUCAUGGAGAUGGAUGAGGAACAUUUUCCUAAGGCCGAAAGAGCUUUGAGGACAGUGCCUGGAGCCGUCCAGUAUAGUGUGAAGUGCUUUCCCCUAUCUGGGCUAUCUCAACUUCGAUGGGACAAACUGUGCCAGUGGUGGGAAUUCUAGUUAGACCUGGGGGUACUACCCCUUAGCUACCUGCCCCUCAGGCCGGUUACCCUUGUCUUCAGCUGUCACAGGAAACAGGGUCUCGAAAGUGUUUAUGCUUGUUCUCCGGCCCUUUCAUUUCACGGUGAGAACACAAGGCACUGGCUCAAGUCACCCAGAGUGACGUGGCAAAGCCGUGCUGGCCUCCUGACCCCCGACAGGUGUCUCCUAUCCUAGGAGAUGCUUGUUUCUCCUCCAUCUCCCACCUUUUCCCUGUCUCGGGGCAAGAGGCUGACGACCUAAAUUCCAGCCCUAGUUCUGCCACUGAUUAAUGAAUUAAAUAUCUACUAGGUACCUUCUGUAUGUCAGGCACUAUUUGAGGGGCUGAGGGUACCGCACGGGGAUAACAGCCAAUACACAGGUAAGUAAGUAAUUUUCUAAAAUCAUAAUUGCUGCAAGGAAAAGAAAAACAACAACUCAGUGGAGAUGAAUAACAACAGUGAGCUAUGAGCUACUUCAGUUACAAUGGUCAGGAAAGGUCCCUAGUGAGGGGACAUUUGUGCUGAGAUCUGAUUGGCAAGUAGAUCUGGGAGCCGAGCAUUCUGGGCAAAAAUAACAGAAACUAUAAAGGUCCUGAGGCAUGACCCCAGGUGGCCCACUCAAGCAUCAGAAGGAAGAUGAGGAUGAGAGGGGGCAGGAAAUGAAAAGAGGCACGGAGCAAACUUGCUGUGUGCUGUUGGGCCUAGAGCCUGCCCUCUCUGUGCUUUGCUUUCCCCAUCUAACAUAACAGAGAUUCUGCUAGAUGGCCUCUCAGCUGCAGAUCGCCCCCCUCACUGCCCCAUUCUCUCUCUUUUUGGCAUUAAAGAGUUCUGUGACCUGUUGCUUCUCCUCUAUUGGUAGCUGGCAGCCUAGAACAUCCCAGGCACUGUGGUUUCUGCCUUUGCCUCCCUGUGACACAUUCCCAUGGGCUGGAACACUUGCCCGGCUGUUCUGUGGGCGCCUGGCUCACUGUGGCCUUCUCUGUGUCUCUCUUGGGGACACCUGAGGUAGCCACACGAAGUGUUUGGAUUAGUCCAGCAGUACAGCUGCAUUUCCCAAAAGGCGGGUAUACAAAAUAGCAAGGCCAGAAACGGUUCAGGUUUCAUGACAGAAGACACCAAGACCCAAGAACGAUAGAAAUCCCUAAGGGAGAGAGGGACAGAGUACCCAGAGAGCCCCAUAACUGCCCAGCACCUAGAAAAUGGGGUCAGUCACAUCCCCUUCCAGUCAAACUCAGAGGAGGGCAGCCACCAGGAUCCAAAUCUAUUAGGGAUUCUGGGGAGUUCCCUCUGAGGGAUGGGUUCCUGCCCUUCCACAGUCAGGAAGCCUCAUUCCUGGUCUCUGGCUACUCCCCAGCCCAACCAUGCCCAGAACACUCUUGCUUCCUCUUGUGUUUUGUGGUACCAUCCUCCCCACAAUAGCGGGGAAAGAAAUCUGUGCCCCCAGGCUUCUGGAGGGGCAAAUAUCACACCCCUCCAGUUCCGAAGAGGGACCACAGGGUCUCCAGCUCCCUCACACAGCACCCGGUACCCUCCUCUACAUGGAUACCUUCCACAACCCAUGAAUUAGAAAGCAAAGACCUCAGCCCUCUGGGGAGUCAGGCGUUCUGAGAGUCCAGAGAACCGUCCUUCCCUCACCCCCGGAAACCUAGAUCUUAUAUCCCUUUGUGGCUCAGAAGCCCAAGGAGUUCAGCUCCCUGGGGAACCCAGACCACCCCUCCUCCAUGUCAGAAUCCCUAGUGUGAAGGAGAUCGCCUUCAUCAGCAACCAGGGCCUCCACCUCCUCCUCCCCAGGGGGACUAGACACCUAUUGGAUCUAGUUUCUACUCUUGAGAGACCAAGAUGGCCGCCUUUGAGGAGUCCAAACCCUCAACUCCCUUGAGGAGUUCCAUAGUCUGAUGGUACCCAGAGAAAUCAGGAGUCCCGUCCCCAGAACUCUAUUUCCCUUCAGGACCCAGGAAUCCUGGUGACCAGACGUCACCCACUCGAGGCCCUAGUCAGAGCCCUCAUUCCCUUCAAGCACCCAGGAUUCUGACUGGCAGACCCCUUGCUCUGUGAUCCUUCAGGCCCAGACAUCCCAUGCUAGAGUCUGGACCCCGUGCCCUCUCCCUCUCACCGGGUCUUGAGUCCUCCGGCCCUGGCAGAGCCAGGCAGCUGGGACCCUGGGCACACCCGGAAGCCCCGGCCCUCAGCCCAGCUCUCACUGCGCGGGCACCUGCGGCGGCAGCACUGCCUCGGCGUCCGCGCGCAUCUCGACAACCGCCUGCACCACGAUGGCGUGCGCCGCGCGCCGUGGAUGCUGUGGGAUGCCACCACAACUCUAAUCUCCAGCUGCUCC
rnacentral:lncRNA from 1 species